UGGGGAAUAUUGGACAAUGGGGGCAACCCUGAUCCAGCAAUGCCGCGUGUGUGAAGAAGGUCUUCGGAUUGUAAAGCACUUUCGACGGGGACGAUGAUGACGGUACCCGUAGAAGAAGCCCCGGCUAACUUCGUGCCAGCAGCCGCGGUAAUACGAAGGGGGCUAGCGUUGCUCGGAAUGACUGGGCGUAAAGGGCGUGUAGGCGGUUUACACAGUCAGAUGUGAAAUCCCCGGGCUUAACCUGGGAGCUGCAUUUGAUACGUGUAGACUAGAGUGUGAGAGAGGGUUUGUGGAAUUCCCAGUGUAGAGGUGAAAUUCGUAGAUAUUGGGAAGAACACCGGUGGCGAAGGCGGCAACCUGGCUCAUGACUGACGCUGAGGCGCGAAAGCGUGGGGAGCAAACAGGAUUAGAUACCCUGGUAGUCCACGCUGUAAACGAUGUGUGCUAGAUGUUGGGU
rnacentral:rRNA from 1 species